GAUGAACGCUAGCGGCAUGCCUAACACAUGCAAGUCGAACGAGACCUUCGGGUCUAGUGGCGCACGGGUGCGUAACGCGUAUGCAAUCUACCUUAUACAGGGGAAUAGCCCAGAGAAAUUUGGAUUAAUACCUCAUAGUAUAGCAGUUUCGCAUGAAACCACUAUUAAAGUCACAACGGUGAAAGAUGAGCAUGCGUCCCAUUAGCUAGUUGGUAAGGUAACGGCUUACCAAGGCAACGAUGGGUAGGGGUCCUGAGAGGGAGACUCCCCCACCACUGGUACUGAGACACGGACCAGACUCCUACGGGAGGCAGCAGUGAGGAAUAUU
rnacentral:rRNA from 1 species